GAUGAACGCUGGCGGCGUGCCUAACACAUGCAAGUCGAACGAACCUGAUCUUCGGAAAAGGUUAGUGGCGCACGGGUGAGUAACACGUAGGUGACCUGCCCCGGAGUGGGGGAUAACUUCUCGAAAGAGAGGCUAAUACCGCAUACGCUCGGCCAUUCAGUUGGUCGAGUAAAGCUCCGGCGCUCCAGGAGGGGCCUGCGUCCGAUUAGCUAGUUGGUGAGGUAAUGGCUCACCAAGGCGAUGAUCGGUAGCUGGUCUGAGAGGACGAUCAGCCACACUGGCACUGACACACGGGCCAGACGCCUACGGGAGGCAGCAGUGAGAAAUAUUGGUCAAUGGGCGAAAGCCUGAACCAGCAACGCCGCGUGAGGGAUGAAGGCCUUCGGGUCGUAAACCUCUUUUCUGGGAGAAGAGACAAGGACGGUAUCCCAGGAAUAAGUCUCGGCUAACUACGUGCCAGCCGCCGCGGUAAAAC
rnacentral:rRNA from 1 species